rnacentral:tRNA from 1 species
UCCCUGGUGGCUCAGACGGUAAAGCAUCUGCCUGCAAUGUGGAGACCCAGGUUCGAUUCCUGGGUCGGGAA